CAAGCCAACUAAAGUUUCCGCUUCCAAAAACAAAGGAGCAAAGCAAGAAAAGAAACAUGAUGGUGUAGAGCCUCAAGUAGGAGUGGAGAAGAAAGAUGGCAGCGGUAAAGGCGCAAAUGUGGAUCUUCAUCAUUGUAACCCGAUUAUGAGUUUCACGGAACUCUUGACAGCUCCCUCCUAUGGUGUUUAUGGUGAAGAUAUGUUCUAGCUUGUUCAAGUUUGCUAGAUAGUGUAUUGAACAUGGAUGACCAUAGUAUAGUAUUUUGGACAGGGUUGACUAUAGUAUUUUGGAUUUUGGGGCUAACUAUAGUCUUUUGUGGCCUAAGUGUACAAGUAGAUUGGCCAAGUUUAUGCACUUCAGGGAUUAUGUAAGAGCAGAUUGUUGUGGGAUUUCAAUGUGAAAUGCUACAAAUUUUGUCUAUUGUUCACUUUA